GUUGAACGCUGGCGGCGUGCCUAACACAUGCAAGUCGAGCGAACAGAUGAGGAGUUUGCCUCGCUUACGUGGGCGGCGGACGGGUGAUUAAUACGAGUCUAACCUACCUAUAAGACUGACAUCACUACAGGAAAGCUGAUCUAACAUCCGUCAUUAGGUUGAACGGGAGGGAUCAUUGGACCACGCGGGAUCAGCUGAGCCUAAGACAGGGAUCCGGGCCGCAUUAGCUAGUUGGUACGGUAACGGCUUACCAAGGCAACGAUGCGUAGCUGAUCUGAGAGGGUGAUCAGCCACACUGGAACUGAGACACGGUCCAGACUCCUACGGGAGGCAGCAGUAGGGAAUCUUCGGCAAUGGGCGAAAGCCUGAUCGAGCCACGCCGCGUGUGUGAAGAAGGUCUUCGGAUUGUAAAGCACUGUUAGCAGGGAGGAAGGACUGUAAGUGUAACCCUGCACGUCUUGACGGUACCAACACAAAAAGCCCCGGCUAACUACGUG
rnacentral:rRNA from 1 species